rnacentral:rRNA from 1 species
GCCUUGAGGCGUGGCUUCCGGAGCUAACGCGUUAAGUCGACCGCCUGGGGAGUACGGCCGCAAGGUUAAAACUCAAAUGAAUUGACGGGGGCCCGCACAAGCGGUGGAGCAUGUGGUUUAAUUCGAUGCAACGCGAAGAACCUUACCUACUCUUGACAUCCAGAGAACUUUCCAGAGAUGGAUUGGUGCCUUCGGGAACUCUGAGACAGGUGCUGCAUGGCUGUCGUCAGCUCGUGUUGUGAAAUGUUGGGUUAAGUCCCGCAACGAGCGCAACCCUUAUCCUUUGUUGCCAGCGGUCCGGCCGGGAACUCAAAGGAGACUGCCAGUGAUAAACUGGAGGAAGGUGGGGAUGACGUCAAGUCAUCAUGGCCCUUACGAGUAGGGCUACACACGUGCUACAAUGGCGCAUACAAAGAGAAGCGAACUCGCGAGAGCAAGCGGACCUCAUAAAGUGCGUCGUAGUCCGGAUUGGAGUCUGCAACUCGACUCCAUGAAGUCGGAAUCGCUAGUAAUCGUAGAUCAGAAUGCUACGGUGAAUACGUUCCCGGGCCUUGCACUCACCGCCCGUCAAAA